rnacentral:tRNA from 1 species
GGCAUCGUGAUCGAGUGGUCUAAGGCGCCUGUCUGCAAAACAGGUUUUAUCGUGGGUUCGAAUCCCACCGAUGUCU